UACGUAGGGGGCAAGCGUUGUCCGGAUUUAUUGGGCGUAAAGAGCGUGUAGGCGGCUUUGCAAGUCCGUUGUGAAAACUCGAGGCUCAACCUCGAGACGCCGGUGGAAACUGCAAAGCUAGAGUCCGGAAGAGGAGAGUGGAAUUCCUGGUGUAGCGAUGAAAUGCGCAGAUAUCAGGAAGAACACCCGUGGCGAAGGCGGCUCUCUGGGACGGUACUGACGCUGAGGCACGAAGGCCAGGGGAGCAAACGGG
rnacentral:rRNA from 1 species